UACGGGGGGGGCAAGCGUUGUUCGGAAUUACUGGGCGUAAAGGGCUCGUAGGCGGCCAACUAAGUCGGACGUGAAAUCCCCAGGCUCAACCUGGGAACUGCGUCUGAUACUGGAUGGCUUGAAUCCGGGAGAGGGAUGCAGAAUUCCAGGUGUAGCGGUGAAAUGCGUAGAUAUCUGGAGGAACACCGGUGGCGAAGGCGGCAUCCUGGACCGGCAUUGACGCUGAGGAGCGAAAGCCAGGGGAGCAAACGGG
rnacentral:rRNA from 1 species